GGUUGCACGGCUAUUAGGAUCACACAGCAGCCUGAAAGCUGUCAGUACAACUGCUUCUCAUCUUUUUCACACAGUCCUGACAUCUUUUCUCUUUUCGGCUGGACACAGACAUUACUGUUUUUAUCAUUUUCAAUCAAGCUUACCCAGUACGCUGAGGAAUAUAUUCCCACUGAAAGCAAAGUGGAGAUCAGAAAUUAUUUUAUAGCUCCUGGAGCAGAAGCAGUGCUGACUGCAUGCUGAAAGAGCCGGAUCGUGAGAAAUGUAGCUUGGCUCAGGGCUACAUCAGGGAGCUGCUACUUCAGCUGCUAAAGAUGGCAAAACAACACCUACCUCAGGUUUUUCAAUGAUUAAUGCUCUUUUAAUAACCAGGAGGGAAGAGGAUGUGAGAAAUUUUGUGACAUUAACUUGUGGAAAUGUUAUCAUCAGAGAAAGUGGGGAAAAUUACUAGGCUUGAACUUCUCUUCGUUUUGAUGUUCUUUUUCUCUGGACCAACUCUGAGCAAGCUGACUCGGACCCCCUGGAAAGGAAAACCUUGGAAAGGGGGCAAUAACCCAGAAAACUACCACCAGGACCAUGCAGAGAUCUCUCGCCACCAGCUCUGAUGACAAAGAUUCCCCUGAAGAAUGAAGAAAGCAUGUCUGCAUCCAAAUCUGAUUCUUAUCCAAAACCCUGUUUUUCUCAUUUUAGACUAUAAUACUCCCUGCAUUUCUUCCCCAAAGGAGGGCACAGUCUUUAAGGCAUUAGCCUCUGUGGCUUCCUUUGCCUGGCAAAGCAAUACAGUUGUUUUUUUCUCCUUCACCCAAAACUCUGUCUGCACAUUUCUAUUCCAUACCAGUGGGCAGAGGUUGAGUUUCAGCAACACUUAUAAGAAGAGGAGAAGGAACAGACACAGAAAUGAGAACACCAUGUGAUGACAGAGACAAAAAUUGGAGUUGCAUCUACAAGCCAAGGAAUGCUCCAGAUUGCCAGCAACCACUGGACACUAGGAAAGGGCAGGGAAGAAUCCUCCCUAAGAGCCUUCAGAAAAAGUACGGUACUUCCUACACCUUGAUUUCAUAGUCCAGCCUCCAGAAGUGUGAGAGAAUAAAUUUCUGUUGUU
rnacentral:lncRNA from 1 species